rnacentral:rRNA from 1 species
CCUACGGGGGGCUGCAGUGGGGAAUAUUGCACAAUGGGGGAAACCCUGAUGCAGCGACGCCGCGUGAGUGAAGAAGUAUUUCGGUAUGUAAAGCUCUAUCAGCAGGGAAGAAAAUGACGGUACCUGACCAAGAAGCCCCGGCUAACUACGUGCCAGCAGCCGCGGUAAUACGUAGGGGGCAAGCGUUAUCCGGAUUUACUGGGUGUAAAGGGAGCGUAGACGGCAGCGCAAGUCUGGAGUGAAAUGCCGGGGCCCAACCCCGGAACUGCUUUGGAAACUGUGCAGCUGGAGUGCAGGAGAGGUAAGCGGAAUUCCUAGUGUAGCGGUGAAAUGCGUAGAUAUUAGGAGGAACACCAGUGGCGAAGGCGGCUUACUGGACUGUAACUGACGUUGAGGCUCGAAAGCGUGGGGAGCAAACAGGAUUAGAUACCCGGGUAGUC